rnacentral:rRNA from 1 species
GACGAACGCUGGCGGCGUGCCUAAUACAUGCAAGUCGAACGCUUCUUUCCUCCCGAGUGCUUGCACUCAAUUGGAAAGAGGAGUGGCGGACGGGUGAGUAACACGUGGGUAACCUACCCAUCAGAGGGGGAUAACACUUGGAAACAGGUGCUAAUACCGCAUAACAGUUUAUGCCGCAUGGCAUAAGAGUGAAAGGCGCUUUCGGGUGUCGCUGAUGGAUGGACCCGCGGUGCAUUAGCUAGUUGGUGAGGUAACGGCUCACCAAGGCCACGAUGCAUAGCCGACCUGAGAGGGUGAUCGGCCACACUGGGAAUGAGACACGGCCCAGACUCCGACGGGAGGUAGCAGUAGGGAAUCUUCGGCAAUGGACGGAAGUCUGACCGAGCAACGCCGCGUGAGUGAAGAAGGUUUUCGGAUCGUAAAACUCUGUUGUUAGAGAAGAACAAGGACGUUAGUAACUGAACGUCCCCUGACGGUAUCUAACCAGAAAGCCACGGCUAACUACGUGCCAGCCGCCGCCGUAA